rnacentral:ncRNA from 22 species
UUAAGUUAGGUUUGUGGUUGAAAGUCGAUGCCAGUCGCAGGCAAAACGAUCCACGUAAGUUAAACAAAGUUUUAAUGAGCAUGGUGCGGCUUAGAAGUAAGUCCUGCCGCUUUAGGCGAGAGUAUUAGUAGUGAGAGGGUAAUUCCGGGUAGCGAAACUUCCAGCAGGCGAGUGUGGGGUCAAAGACCAGGUCAACUAACUUAA